rnacentral:rRNA from 1 species
GAUGAACGCUGACAGAAUGCUUAACGCAUGCAAGUCUUUGGCGAAGCUGUGCUUGCACAGCCUAGCCAAGGCGGACGGGUGAGUAACACGUAAGGAACUUGCCCUGCAGUCAGGGAUAACAGACGGAAACGACUGAUAAGACCUGGUAAAGUCAGGCGGACUCAUGUCCAGCCUGAUGAAAAGAGAUGCUGCAGGAGAGCCUUGCGUCCUAUUAGCUUGUUGGUGGGGUAACGGCCCACCAAGGCGAUGAUAGGUAGCCGGCCUGAGAGGGUGGACGGCCACAAGGGGACUGAGAUACGGCCCUUACUCCUACGGGAGGCAGCAGUGGGGAAUAUUGGACAAUGGGGGCAACCCUGAUCCAGCAAUUCUGUGUGCACGAUGAAGGUUUUCGGAUUGUAAAGUGCUUUCAGCAGGGAAGAAAAAAAUGACGGUACCUGCAGAAGAAGCGACGGCUAAAUACGUG